CUACGGGUGGCAGCAGUGGGGAAUAUUGCACAAUGGGGGAAACCCUGAUGCAGCCAUGCCGCGUGUGUGAAGAAGGCCUUAGGGUUGUAAAGCACUUUCAGUAGUGAGGAAGUUAUCUAAUUUAAUAGAUUAGUUGAUUGACGUUAGCUACAGAAGAAGCACCGGCGAACUCCGUGCCAGCAGCCGCGGUAAUACGGAGGGUGCAAGCGUUAAUCGGAAUUACUGGGCGUAAAGCGCAUGCAGGUGGUUAAUUAAGUCAGAUGUAAAAUCCCCGAGCUCAACUUGGGACUGUGAUUUGAAACUGGUUAACUAGAGUACUGUAGAGGGGGGUAGAAUUUCAGGUGUAGCGGUGAAAUGCGUAGAGAUCUGAAGGAAUACCGGUGGCGAAGGCGGCCCCCUGGACAGAUACUGACACUCAGAUGCGAAAGCGUGGGUAGCAAACAGGAUUAGAUACCCGUGUAGUC
rnacentral:rRNA from 1 species